GGGUGUCCUGGCCAAAGGUAAGAACGCCCCUGCUUCUGGCAGGGACACAGGGGUUCGUGGGAGGGCGUUCCUAGCAGACUCGGGGAACAAGAGUCCAAAAUGAGCAUCUGCCCCCUGAGGCUGGAGAAGGGGUCCCGGUGCGCCCCUCCACCCGACCACCCUGCUCUGCCCCACACUUCUCCCCCUCAGACUCCGCCGGUCGGCACUGACACUGCCUCUGCCCCCACAGCCUCCAUCCAGGCCCCCCUCGUCUUCCCCUUGGCCACCUGCUGCAAAGGCACCAUCGCCACUGCCCCGUCCGUGACACUGGGCUGCCUGGUCACGGGCUACUUCCCGAUGCCGGUGACUGUGACCUGGGAUGCAGGGUCCCUGAACAAGAGCGUCGUGACCCUCCCCGCCACCCUCCAGGAGACCUCUGGCCUCUACACCACCACCAGCCACGUGACCGUCUCGGGCGAGUGGGCCAAACAGAAGUUCACCUGCAGUGUGGCUCACGUGGAGUCCCCCACCAUCAACAAGACCGUCAGUGCGUGUGCCAUGAACUUCAUUCCCCCCACCGUGAAGCUCUUCCACUCCUCGUGUAACCCCCUCGGUGACACCAGUAGCACCAUCCAGCUCCUGUGCCUCAUCUCCGGCUACGUCCCAGGUGACAUGGAGGUCACCUGGCUGGUGGAUGGGCAGAAGGCCACGAACAUAUUCCCAUACACAGCCCCCGGCAAGCAGGAGGGCAAGGUGACCUCCACCCACAGCGAGCUCAACAUCACGCAGGGUGAGUGGGUGUCCCAAAAGACCUACACUUGCCAGGUCACCUAUCAAGGCUUCACCUUUGAGGACAACGCUCGCAAGUGCACAGAGUCUGACCCCCGAGGUGUGAGCACCUACCUGAGCCCGCCCAGCCCUCUUGACCUGUACGUCCACAAGUCGCCCAAGAUCACCUGCCUGGUGGUGGACCUGGCCAACACAGAGGGCAUGAUCCUGACCUGGUCGCGGGAGAAUGGGGAGUCUGUGCACCCAGACCCGAUGGUCAAGAAGACUCAGUACAACGGGACAAUCACCGUCACUUCCACCCUGCCUGUGGAUGCCACUGACUGGGUUGAGGGGGAGACCUACCAAUGCAAGGUGACCCAUCCAGACCUGCCCAAGGACAUCGUGCGCUCCAUUGCCAAAGCCCCCGGCCGGCGUUUCCCCCCGGAGGUGUACGUGUUCCUGCCGCCCGAGGGGGAGCCGAAGAGCAAGGACAAAGUCACUCUCACGUGCCUGAUCCAGAACUUCUUUCCCCCGGACAUCUCGGUGCAAUGGCUUCACAACGACAGCCCUGUUCGGACGGAACAGCAGGCCACCACGUGGCCCCACAAGGCCACCGGCCCCAGCCCAGCAUUCUUUGUCUUCAGUCGCCUUGAGGUCAGCCGGGCAGACUGGGAGCAGAGGGAUGUGUUCACCUGCCAAGUGGUGCACGAGGCGCUGCCUGGCUCUAGGACGCUCAAGAAAUCCGUGUCCAAAAACCCUGGUAAAUGAUGCCCACCCCUCCCCCCAGAGCUCCAUCCUGCUGGGGCGGGGGAGGGGCCGGCCGGACCUGCCGGUCUGUUGUUGUCAAUAAACACUGCAGUGCCUGCCUCAGA